rnacentral:rRNA from 1 species
GACGAACGCUGGCGGCGUGCUUAACACAUGCAAGUCGAACGGUGAAGGGAUCAGCUUGCUGGUUCUGGAUGAGUGGCGAACGGGUGAGUAACACGUGAGUAACCUGCCCCCUUCUUCUGGAUAACCGCAUGAAAGUGUGGCUAAUACGGGAUAUUCUGGGUCUGUCGCAUGAUGGGUCUGGGAAAGAUAUUGUUUCGGUGGGGGAUGGGCUCGCGGCCUAUCAGCUUGUUGGUGGGGUGAUGGCCUACCAAGGCGGUGACGGGUAGCCGGCCUGAGAGGGUGGACGGUCACACUGGGACUGAGACACGGCCCAGACUCCUACGGGAGGCAGCAGUGGGGAAUAUUGCACAAUGGGCGCAAGCCUGAUGCAGCGACGCCGCGUGAGGGAGGGAGGCCUUCGGGUUGUAAACCUCUUUCGCCAGUGAAGCAGGCCUGCUCCUUGUGGGUGGGUUGACGGUAGCUGGAUAAGAAGCGCCGGCUAACUACGUG